UCAAUUAAUAUCGAAUAAUAAAUGACUGUUAAUCAUUAGGUCACAAGUUCGAGUCUUGUCCGGGGAGCCA
rnacentral:tRNA from 1 species